rnacentral:lncRNA from 1 species
GAGAAACCAAGUUUGAUUUCGGUUAAUUUAUUUUCGAAUUGAUGUGCUUGGGCGAUCCCAUGUGAAGGUCGAUGUUAAAGAUAUAGUUACAGUUGCGGUUUUGGUUGCAUUAUGGCCAUCGGAGAUCUUGCCGGAAGUCGCAACAAUGGAAGAAGUUUAAAGUGGCAGAAAGGGUGAUGGGGCAAAUUACAUAAGGAUAGCAGGUAG